GAUUCAUUCAUACAAAUUACAACAUCAUUGCCACUCAAACUGUCGGAGUGGGCAGACGUCAUCCAGUGGUGUUAAUUUGGAACGAAAAAAAAUCUAUUUAUAAACGUGUGGCGUAUGUGAAAUACAUUGUGGAUAACAAUAUGAGACUGAGAUCGAUCUUGCUAAUUUUCUGCCUGUUGCUGCUGGCUGGUAUGAUGAGAGGUCACGUUCUACCUACUGUCGUUAACAAGAUAGACGCUAACCUACCAAAGACUGCAAGAAAUGUAUCCGAAGAUUAUAGGAACUAUAGCUUUAUUAUAACUACCUAUUUAUAGCAAUAGUGCUUACGUAUUAUUUAAAAUAAAAUAAUAUUUAACGUC